ACCCGCUGAACUUAAGCAUAUCAAUAAGCGGAGGAAAAGAAACUAACAAGGAUUCCCCUAGUAACGGCGAGUGAAGCGGGAAUAGCUCAAAUUUGAAAUCUCACAGCGAAAGUUGUGCGAAUUGUAGUUUAGAGAAGCGUCUUCGGGGAUGACUGGGUAUAAGUCCUCUGGAAUGGGGCGUCAUAGAGGGUGAGAAUCCCGUUUAUGAUCCAAUUAGUCAUUCCUAUGUGAUACGCUUUCUAAGAGUCAGGUAGUUUGGGAUUGCUGCCUAAAAUUGGGUGGUAGGUACCAUCUAAAGCUAAAUACUGGCGAGAGACCGAUAGCGAACAAGUACCGUGAGGGAAAGAUGAAAAGAACUUUGAAAAGAGAGUUAAACAGUACGUGAAAUUGCCAAAAGGGAAACGCUUGGAAGCAGCUUGUAUACCAGCAAUCAGCCACAGCAGCCUGACAAGGGUGAUGGUGGUGCACUUGCUAAAAGCGUAUACUCGUCAACAUCAGUUUGGCUUUGGGUAGAAACCUGGAUGGAAGGUAGCUUGGGCCUCGGGCCAGAGUGUUAUAGCCGUCCGGCCUCGAUUCCGCUGGUGGGGCCUUCUGGUUCUGCUGGUGGGCCUCGAGGUAUGCUCAGGGCUGGACUGAGGACAGCAGCAUUAAUUGGGCAGCCAGUCGCCUCCUGAACUUUGUUCUUAGACAGCUCGCUGGCUAGGGACAGGGCUAGGGAGCUCGGUUGGUGUCGCCACACCAAUGCUUAGGAUGUUGGCAUAAUGCUUCCAAACGACCCGUCUUGAAACACGG
rnacentral:rRNA from 1 species